CCCCAGUAUGUUUUCCGAAUAUCUUACAACUCUACUGCAAAUGGUAGGAUAUUAUAAUAUUUAUACUGGACCAAAAAUCUCACUUUUUAUCCUAAUCAGGCAUAGCACGAAAUUUUCGGAUCGGGUCACAAUUCGGAUCCAUGAAAAAUAUAUCCAAAAUUCAAGCCACAAAAUAUAACAAUUUGAAAUAUUACUUGCUAUAUGAUACUAAUUAACCAAACAUUUCCAUUCACAAAUCACCCACAACUUAUAAAAGGGUUGAAACAAAACACAAUAUAUAAGGGAGAUUCUGGAGGUGUUUGUGCCUCCCUCUGUAUAAUACAUAAAGAAAAUGCUGUGGAGAAAUUGUAAUAAGUGGCUUUAGGGUAUAACUUGGAUGAUGAGUCCAGAACAGUCAAUGAUGCUUUGCAGCGGCCGCCGGCGGGCACUGGUAGCACUUGGCAAAGAGACCAAAUGUGUCAACUUGCUUGAUAAAAUUGGUCACACUGGCCCACCCUCCUAAUCCAAAGCCAACAACAAGGACCCAGAUCACAACAAAUGCAUUCACUAUAUACAUGGCUGUCCAGCUAGGGAGGAAAAAUGGAGGCUUCUCCGCUGCAUUCUGUCGAGCAGAGGCAGAUCGAAAAGUGAGCAUAUGAGCUAAAGCAGGGAUGACGUAGACGGUGAAGCUGACCAAAAGAGCCCCCACAGCUGAGUUAAUGGGGCCAAAGAAAGGAAAUAUAAUAGCCAAGAACCAUAUAGGUAUAACUACAGGCAACCUGGUUAAUGCCCUUAAAAAUAUGCUCUUGGUAUCAUGCAUCCCUACCACUUUCUCCCACACAAAAUACAGUGGUGUGCAUGCAAAUCCGAAUGUUAUGAACUGAUGGAUGAGCAUGAGGAUAACUGCAGCAUCUCGCCACCUGGAACGGGGAAGAAGGGAGAAGGCAUUCGAGUGGUCGAGGAGUUGAUCGCCAAAUGCCCAGUAGACAGCAACAGCUGAUGGAAUUGUUAAGGUGAACACAUAUAGGGCGGCUAGGAAAUAUAUGUACUUGAAUUUCUGAGGCUUCCACAU
rnacentral:misc_RNA from 1 species